rnacentral:rRNA from 1 species
CCUACGGGAGGCUGCAGUGGGGAAUAUUGGACAAUGGGGGCAACCCUGAUCCAGCCAUGCCGCGUGUGUGAAGAAGGCCCUCGGGUUGUAAAGCACUUUCAGUGAGGAAGAACGCCUGGUGGUUAAUACCCAUCAGGAAAGACAUCACUCACAGAAGAAGCACCGGCUAACUCCGUGCCAGCAGCCGCGGUAAUACGGAGGGUGCGAGCGUUAAUCGGAAUUACUGGGCGUAAAGCGCGCGUAGGUGGCUUGAUAAGCCGGUUGUGAAAGCCCCGGGCUCAACCUGGGAACGGCAUCCGGAACUGUCAAGCUAGAGUGCAGGAGAGGAAGGUAGAAUUCCCGGUGUAGCGGUGAAAUGCGUAGAGAUCGGGAGGAAUACCAGUGGCGAAGGCGGCCUUCUGGACUGACACUGCCACUGAGGUGCGAAAGCGUGGGUAGCAAACAGGAUUAGAUACCCUGGUAGUC